rnacentral:lncRNA from 1 species
CUUCUCCCCCUGCGCCGCGGCCGGCGACGACAGCAGCGCCAGCGCCAGCGCCACGGCGAAGGAGAGGCGCAGCGACGCCGACGCCCGCGCGCCUGGCGUCGGUGACGCCACCAUCGCUCGUCGGCAAGCAACGAACGCGACGGCGAAGUGAAGUGGACGGACGCAGAGAAGAAGAGCAAGAAAAAGGCGUCGUCCCUCGUCUUGUGGUUGGAUGUAGUACGCGUGGAGACAGUUAAUGUGGUCCGCAAUUAUGGGCUGUCGUUUUGCACCAUGGAGUCAUGGCAUUGUUUUGUUGGUGCCCUUAAAAUCGUGAGCCACGGUAACCAUGAUGUAUAAAAAAGUUAAUUUUAAGAUAAUGAUUAUACUUAUAAAAUAA